GAACGCUGGCGGCGUGCCUAAUACAUGCAAGUCGAGCGAACAGACGAGGAGCUUGCUCCUCUGACGUUAGCGGCGGACGGGUGAGUAACACGUGGAUAACCUACCUAUAAGACUGGGAUAACUUCGGGAAACCGGAGCUAAUACCGGAUAAUAUAUUGAACCGCAUGGUUCAAUAGUGAAAGACGGUUUUGCUGUCACUUAUAGAUGGAUCCGCGCCGCAUUAGCUAGUUGGUAAGGUAACGGCUUACCAAGGCAACGAUGCGUAGCCGACCUGAGAGGGUGAUCGGCCACACUGGAACUGAGACACGGUCCAGACUCCUACGGGAGGCAGCAGUAGGGAAUCUUCCGCAAUGGGCGAAAGCCUGACGGAGCAACGCCGCGUGAGUGAUGAAGGUCUUCGGAUCGUAAAACUCUGUUAUUAGGGAAGAACAAAUGUGUAAGUAACUAUGCACGUCUUGACGGUACCUAAUCAGAAAGCCACGGCUAACUACGUGCCAGCAGCCGCGGUAAUACGUAGGUGGCAAGCGUUAUCCGGAAUUAUUGGGCGUAAAGCGCGCGUAGGCGGUUUUUUAAGUCUGAUGUGAAAGCCCACGGCUCAACCGUGGAGGGUCAUUGGAAACUGGAAAACUUGAGUGCAGAAGAGGAAAGUGGAAUUCCAUGUGUAGCGGUGAAAUGCGCAGAGAUAUGGAGGAACACCAGUGGCGAAGGCGACUUUCUGGUCUGUAACUGACGCUGAUGUGCGAAAGCGUGGGGAUCAAACAGGAUUAGAUACCCUGGUAGUCCACGCCGUAAACGAUGAGUGCUAAGUGUUAGGGGGUUUCCGCCCCUUAGUGCUGCAGCUAACGC
rnacentral:rRNA from 1 species